CCAGGAGCAUUUCCCCAGCUGCUCAACAGAAUGAGAGGCUCACUCAGCACCCAGCUAAAUCCAGGCACCAGGGUAAUAUAGCUGGACAAUAUAGCAUUAAGAGACUUGGAAGUAGAAGACGCCAUACAUCUAACUAUGUAUGGCUGAGUGCUACCCACUCAGCCAUAGCCUCCCUCUCCUUUGUAUCUUCCCAUUGGUCUGUGAACGGGAGGACAAGAAAGAUGCAGACACAGAAUGCAUGGCAGAAGAAGAAAAUUAAAAACCCCAGUUUGCUGGACAGAAAACCAGGAAGGAAGGCUCCAGAAAGCUGGAAAGUACUGGAGUGACCACAGAAAGGAGACAGAUCAAGAUAGUAACCUUAUAAAGUUGAGUCUCAUGCAUCUUUUUAUUGCCAGGGCCUAAUAUAAGCUAUAACAUAGUAGAUAUUUGGUAAAGGUUUGUGGGGUUGAAUUUUUAAAAUCUCAUAAAAAUCCCAAUUUGGGGAUAUUAAUGAUUCCUAAUAUUUUAUUCCAGGAUAGAAUAAUUAAAUAUUACUCUUACAGCACUUUUAUACCCAUUAUAUUCAUAUUACUCUAUGAGUCCUAGUAAAUUUUAGGCUAUAAACAGCAAAAAUACCACAUUAUUAUAUUCUUAGCAAGGGAUCAUUUUAACUUUGGGAUUAGCAAAGACUUUCUGAAGUCCUCUUUUUAAGAAGAAAGAAAUCAUGAAAUAAGUUUUUCUUCUUCAAGCUCUGGACAAUUCCAAGCAUUUCUUGGACAGGAGAAAUGUUCAGUACUAUGCCAUGGAAGUAGGCUAUUUAUUCUUGACCUUAACUACAAAUAAUUUUAUGUUCUCAAGUAUAGAAUGCACAAUUCUCAUAUUUUAUCUCAGCUAGCAUAAACUGUAGGUGUUUUUCUUAUUUAUAAAAAUGUCUUAUCCUUUAUAAAAAUCCUUAAGCUAUUUUUAUAUAGUGAUUAUUCCUGAAAACAUUUGCUUUACACUUAAAAGGGGGCCAUGGUGUUGAUCAGGGGGAAACUAUAAUUGCUUGCCAUACACCUGCAACGAUUUCAAGUAGGCAGGCACAUCUCCAAUUUCUCUGAAUUGUACUAAGAUCUUAUUUGCUGUUCUUGCUAAUCUGUCUUUAUUUUUCCUUUACCCAGAACAAUAACAUUUAUUUCUGCCUGGCCUCAUUUAUGCACAGAUAUUCAAUUUAAUUACAAAGAUAAUCUCACCGGUGACAGGAAAAUAGGUGUAGAAAAUUGGUCUUUUGGAUGAGGCACAGCUGCUACAGAAACAAUUUUAGAAAAGCUUAAGAUUUUAGAAAAGCUAUUAUAUGAAAAA